rnacentral:rRNA from 1 species
GGGGGGGGGGGGGGGGGGGCGGGGGGCGGGGGGGGGGGGCGGGCAGGCGAGGGGCUUGCUCCUCUGACGUUAGCGGCGGACGGGGGAGUAACACGUGGAGAACCUACCUAUAAGACUGGGAUAACUUCGGGAAACCGGAGCUAAUCCCGGGUAAUAUAUUGAACCGCAUGGUUCAAUAGUGAAAGACGGUUUUGCUGUCACUUCUACAUCGAUCCGCGCCGCAUUAGCUAGUUGGUAAGGUAACGUCUUACCAAGGCAACGAUGCGUAGCCGACCUGAGAGGGUGAUCGGCCACACUGGAACUGAGACACGGUCCAGACUCCUACGGGAGGCAGCAGUAGGGAAUCUUCCGCAAUGGGCGAAAGCCUGACGGAGCAACGCCGCGUGAGUGAUGAAGGUCUUCGGAUCGUAAAACUCUGUUAUUAGGGAAGAACAAAUGUGUAAGUAACUAUGCACGUCUUGACGGUACCUAAUCAGAAAGCCACGGCUAACUACGUG